AUUGAACGCUGGCGGCAGGCCUAACACAUGCAAGUCGAACGGUAACAGGAAGAAGCUUGCUUCUUUGCUGACGAGUGGCGGACGGGUGAGUAAUGUUUGGGAAACUGCCUGAUGGAGGGGGAUAACUACUGGAAACGGUAGCUAAUACCGCAUAACGUCGCAAGACCAAAGAGGGGGACCUUCGGGCCUCUUGCCAUCGGAUGUGCCCAGAUGGGAUUAGCUUGUUGGUGGGGUAACGGCUCACCAAGGCGACGAUCCCUAGCUGGUCUGAGAGGAUGACCAGCCACACUGGAACUGAGACACGGUCCAGACUCCUACGGGAGGCAGCAGUGGGGAAUAUUGCACAAUGGGCGCAAGCCUGAUGCAGCCAUGCCGCGUGUAUGAAGAAGGCCUUCGGGUUGUAAAGUACUUUCAGCGGGGAGGAAGGGAGUAAAGUUAAUACCUUUGCUCAUUGACGUUACCCGCAGAAGAAGCACCGGCUAACUCCGUG
rnacentral:rRNA from 1 species